rnacentral:rRNA from 1 species
GACGAACGCUGGCGGCGUGCUUAACACAUGCAAGUCGAACGGAAAGGCCCUGCUUGCAGGGUCCUCGAGUGGCGAACGGGUGAGUAACACGUGGGUGAUCUGCCCUGCACUUCGGGAUAAGCCUGGGAAUCUGGGUCUAAUACCGGAUAGGAGCCAUUUUUAGUGUGAUGGUUGGAAAGUUUUUUCGGUGUAGGAUGAGCUCGCGGCCUAUCAGCUUGUUGGUGGGGUAAUGGCCUACCAAGGCGGCGACGGGUAGCCGGCCUGAGAGGGUGGACGGCCACAUUGGGACUGAGAUACGGCCCAGACUCCUACGGGAGGCAGCAGUGGGGAAUAUUGCACAAUGGGCGCAAGCCUGAUGCAGCGACGCCGCGUGGGGGAUGACGGCCUUCGGGUUGUAAACUCCUUUCGCUAGGGACGAAGCUUUUUGUGACGGUACCUAGAUAAGAAGCACCGGCUAACUACGUG